rnacentral:lncRNA from 1 species
GGGAUGGCUACCUUGUUCUUCCGUUUUAAUGAUGACCUUAACUUCAACAGGAAAAUUUAAAUUCCCGUCCAUCCUAUAAGUUUUUUCCACCAAAGAUUAAUGAGGCUAAUUAGUAAUAGUGCGAGUGAAAAAAUCAUAAUAUUUUAUUCUGUGUUGUGACAAAUAACACAUUUCCGACAUAAACAACCUUAUGCCCUUUGUUGAGAGACAACGUUCAACUUAAUCCGCCAUCUUGUUUUCCUUAACACUGCAGCCACAUUGUGACGUAGUAAUUUCCAGUAACACCCCUCUCCAUCGACUGCAGUCUGAUUUGCAGAGAAGCACGGGGAAACGUGUAAGUGAAGAAGCGUGGAGUCAUCCAGUGGAGAAAUGGCGGCAAUGAUAAGCAAGUGCCUGAAGUGGAGUAUGCUAUUGAAUCAACAAGAUUAGAUAUCCAAAAGAUGAGGAAGAAUGGAACGCUAUAUCGACCUGCUGUGCUCUUUCUUCUUUCGUAUCCCAGGCAACGUGUAUCACGUCCGUGUUUGAGCUCGGGGUGUGUCUUAGCCAAUAAGAGCGCAUGCGGCCUUCAACUCUUGUCCUGCCUCUUUAUCGACCACACGCACACUGGCAAAGUUCCAGUGCCGUGCACCUGAAGAAAAUACUCGGGUUCUCACGUUUCCUGUGCUCUAAGAACAAUCCAAACGCAGGAUGAUGAUUUGUUUAUUGCACUAAGACUGCUAAGGCCAAGAACAAAGGCUCCCUGUGUGGCAGCGGUAAGUUUACGGACUUACAAUGCCAAAAUCCGGGAUUCGCUUCUCCGUGGUGGAGACAACAGAUAGCUCAGUAUGGCUUUCCUCCAAAACAAACAAGAUAAGGUCCUUUCUAUUUGUCGGGUCAUAGAAAAUGUCUUGGAAGAAAUUCAUUAUUUUUUCAAAGACUUUUUUAAUUACUUUAAAUAAACGGAUAGAAACCCAGAGUUUUAAAGUUCUAUAAAAUAAUUUAGAUACAGAUAUUGAACCUUACGCGUGUUUUGUAUGGUUGUUUAUCACACAUUAAUUCAUGACUUCCAACUUUAUUCGAAAUUUUAACAUGUAAGGUUUGAAUCACUGUAUAUAUAUAUAUAUAUAUAUAUGUGUGUGUGUGUGUUAAUGGCUAAAAUACAUUCUAUUUAGAGAUUAAAGUACUUUUUAUACCUCGGUUAAAUUCCUUUAAUUUUUAUCGAGAGGUUCUUAUGUUGAUCAAUGAAUUAAGAACAGUUCGUAUUAAUGACAGUAAAUGAUACACAUUGUCUCAGGAACACAACAGCUCGUAUUAAUGACAGUAAAUGAUACACAUUGUCUCAGGAACAGAACAGCUCGUAUUAAUGACAGUAAAUGAUACACAUUGUCUCAGGAACAGAACAGCUCGUACUAAUGACAGUAAAUGAUACACGUUGUCUCAGGAACAGAACAGCUCGUAUUAAUGACAGUAAAUGAUACACAUUGUCUCAGGAACAGAACAGCUCGUACUAAUGACAGUAAAUGAUACACAUUGUCUCAGGAACACAACAGCUCGUAUUAAUGACAGUAAAUGAUACACAUUGUCUCAGGAACAGAACAGCUCGUAUUAAUGACAGU